rnacentral:rRNA from 1 species
AUUGAACGCUGGCGGCAGGCUUAACACAUGCAAGUCGAGCGGAGAUGAGGUGCUUGCACCUUAUCUUAGCGGCGGACGGGUGAGUAAUGCUUAGGAAUCUGCCUAUUAGUGGGGGACAACAUUCCGAAAGGAAUGCUAAUACCGCAUACGUCCUACGGGAGAAGGCAAGGGAUCUUCGGACCUUGCGCUAAUAGAUGAGCCUAAGUCGGAUUAGCUAGUUGGUGGGGUAAAGGCCUACCAAGGCGACGAUCUGUAGCGGGUCUGAGAGGAUGAUCCGCCAAACUGGGACUGAGACACGGCCCAGACUCCUACGGGAGGCAGCAGUGGGGAAUAUUGGACAAUGGGGGGAACCCUGAUCCAGCCAUGCCGCGUGUGUGAAGAAGGCCUUAUGGUUGUAAAGCACUUUAAGCGAGGAGGAGGCUACUGAGACUAAUACUCUUGGAUAGUGGACGUUACUCGCAGAAUAAGCACCGGCUAACUCUGUGCCAGCCGCCGCCGUAACAC